AGUGGGGAAUAUUGGACAAUGGGCGAAAGCCUGAUCCAGCAAUGCCGCGUGAGUGAUGAAGGCCUUAGGGUUGUAAAGCUCUUUUACCAGGGAUGAUAAUGACAGUACCUGGAGAAUAAGCUCCGGCUAACUCCGUGCCAGCAGCCGCGGUAAUACGGAGGGAGCUAGCGUUGUUCGGAAUUACUGGGCGUAAAGCGCACGUAGGCGGCUACUCAAGUCAGGGGUGAAAGCCCGGGGCUCAACCCCGGAACUGCCUUUGAAACUAGGUAGCUAGAAUCUUGGAGAGGUCAGUGGAAUUCCGAGUGUAGAGGUGAAAUUCGUAGAUAUUCGGAAGAACACCAGUGGCGAAGGCGACUGACUGGACAAGUAUUGACGCUGAGGUGCGAAAGCGUGGGGAGCAAA
rnacentral:rRNA from 1 species